UCGCUCCACUCCAUCCUCGCCGGUCUUUUCCUCUUUUCAUAAUAUUUUUUCCCUCCACUUCUUGUUUUCCUAUCUCGCGGUUUCCUCUUCCUUCCAGGCGAUGUCGCCCAGAUGCCCUGCCGAUGGAAGAGCGUCUCUUUCGGCAACUGCAGCAAACCCUAUCCGAACAACCCCACCCACCACUACAAUCUGCCUCCAAUCUCUUCUCUCUCGAGUUGAUCUCUUUUUGCUGCAUUUCAUAGAUUUUUAUUUUUUUCAGGGUUGGAAAGGAAUAGAGGCAGAGGAGGCAGCCGAGCAUUUCUUGGCCUGUGCGAAGCUGCCGCCUUUCGUUUCCGAGGGUACACUACAACCAGGUCUCGGUGGACGCAGAGAGGGCUUCCAAGUGCUACCAGAAGGCUGUGUCCCUGAAUCCUGAUGAUUCUGAAGUCGGUGAGGUGCUGUGUGGUUUGUUGGAUGAAGAAGGAAAAGAAAUUUUGGAGAGGGCUUGGCGUAAGGAGGCAUCUAGGAAGUCCCCGAGAGCUUUUUAGGCGUGUAGGAGAUGAGGACACCUGCAGUGUAAUCAAGGAAAAAGAGCUAUAAUCAAGAAAGGAGACCCUUGGAGGUAUUCCAGUUCCCACUGGAGCGCAAUGUCCACCAAAAGAAAUGACCAGACGCAGUACGAAGCCUUCAGCAUGCAAUACAAAACUAUCCAGCAUGCGCCAAUUUGUGGGAAAUACAUGGCAGCCAGGCACUUGGUCUUGCAUACCAAAGCUUGAGCAUGUCUAGUGCAGCUAUAAAGGAAGAUCAGAAGUUGCAGAAGAGAAUACCCAUUUAUCAGGAAAUAUAUCUUCUUCUUGGAAAUUGCAUGGGGAUAUCCAGGCUAUUUUCUUUAUCUUCUCCGACAACACUUUCAUUCCAAGCUGUCUGCUGAGUAAGAUGCACGACUGUUUUGUGUGGAUGCACCUCCACCUCACUAUAAUUGAUUCAAUAUCAUGUUCGCAAGUUUAAAAGUCACAUGCGGCCAUGUGAUACCAA